rnacentral:rRNA from 1 species
UACGGAGGAGGCAAGCGUUAUCCGGAAUUAUUGGGCGUAAAGCGUCCGCAGGUGGCGAUUCAAGUCUGCGGUCAAAGACUGGGGCUUAACCCUGGAAAGGCCGUGGAAACUGAAUAGCUAGAGUGCAGUAGGGGUAGAGGGAAUUCCCGGUGUAGCGGUGAAAUGCGUAGAGAUCGGGAAGAACAUCGGUGGCGAAAGCGCUCUACUGGACCGCAACUGACACUCAGGGACGAAAGCUAGGGGAGCGAAUGGG